UCGUGUGUGUGUGUGUGUGUGUGUGUGUGUGUGUGUGUGUGUGUGUGUGUGUUCUUUUGUCAAGGAAAUAGAUUUUCAUUAGCAUCUGGAGAACCCCCUGGCGAUGGGCUACUGGACUGAAGGGUAACAGCCCAAAUUGGCUGUGGGGCCACCUUAGUGAUGUAAGGCAAAGGGCUGGGGCUAGAAAGUGUGACUGUGUGGUGCUCUUAGAAGGGUCAGGGCUUUGGGAGGAAGAAACUUAAUUUUAAUUGCUACCGGGAAGACAAUUAACUAUUCAGAGGCGAUUGACAAUUAAAUCACCCCUCAGGGUGAGCUGUAAGGCCAUGAAGCCAUGGAGUACUGAUGACAAGAAAUAUCCCGAAGGAGGCAAAGCUUUAGUAUGAGCCAACCAGGUAGGGUGACCAUGACAUUUAGGAUUAUUUCAAUCCUAAACUGCUUACACCAAAAUAGGAAGUCAUGCUUCAUUAUAUUCUGAGUUGGUCAGACUAUAUAGAGAGAAUAUUUUAAAUAAUUAUGAAUCUUGAAAUAACAUUGGCAAUACUGAUAAUAGUAUUACAUUAGGAAUGACUGAAAGAUUAGGUGUAUUUAACCCUGUUUAGAGGGGUGUGGUUGUGAAAAUUGAGAAAGAUAUAAAGCUGCCUUUACAUAUUGGAAAGGCCCAAAAAAUAUCACAACUUUUAAUGUUUGAACCUUUUAAAAAUGGAAAAGGUGAAGUACUGAGCUCCCUGUGGUUGAAGGCAUCCAAGACAGGGUUGAACGAAAGGUUCUGGUAAAGAUGCUCUAGUAUAAAAAUUUUUAUAAUAGGUUGAGAAUUGUCUAGAUUACCUGCAAGAUACUCUGUAGCUCUAAGUGUACAGUCGGCCCUCUGUAUCCAUAAGUUCUGCAUCUGUGAAUUCAACUAAAUGCAAAUCAAAAAUAUUUGGGAAGAAAAUUGCAUCUGUUGUGAACAUGUACAGAGUUUUUUCUUGUCAUUAGUCCCUGGACAAUACAGUAUAACAAUUACUUACAUAGCAUUUAUAGUGUAUUAGGUAUUAGAAUCUAAAGAUGAUUUAAAGUAUACAGGAAUAUGUGUAAACACUGCACCAUUUUAUAGCAGGGACUUGAGCAUCUUUGGAUUUUGGUAUCUAUGGUACUUCCUGGAACCAAUCCUUUAAGAAUACAAAUGGACGACAGUAUUCAUAUAGAAUAUAGGUAGCUAGCACUCUCAAAGCAGCUGCAUCAGAGCCAGUCUUCCUACCUGGAAAUUAUCAGCUCCAGGAGAGCAGAAGCCAGGAUUUUCCUAGAGUUUGAGAGAGCUCCUGGUGCUUUACAGGUGCUUGAAAAUUACUGGUGGAAUGAAUACUUUCUUUUUCCUGCUGGAUGUGAACCACAAAUGGAGUAAAGACCUGAGUAAGACCUCUUCUUUCUUAGUUUCCUAAUAAAUGAGCAGAGGUGGGGGAAGAGACUCUUUGCAUUUUUAAACUCUCCUAAUUUGGGGAAGAAAACAUGAUGGUUGAGAUUGGUUACAUAAUUACAAAAGAAAGCUAAAUCUAGUUAUUUCCAUAUGUAUUACUUUUCUCAAUUUUAUUAGCAGGUAGAGAGUCUUCUUCAUAAUCUUUUAAUACUUUAUGUUCUGCUUCAUUUUAAAGUAUGGAUACAAAUUCAACAAAUUUUUAAAAUGAAAAAGGAAAGCAAAUGUUAAAAAUGUGUAGCUUGUGUUUUAUGUAAUAAAUUGGAAAAAGGAUGGGCCAAAACACAAAUUAACCCCAAUAUGUGGGAUACAGGUGAGUAAAGCUAGCUAGAAAAGGAUAAAACAUACCGCUUAGGGGCAAAAAAGGAGCUAACUUUUAUUAGAUGAAUCUUAUGCUCUACCAACUAAGUUCUAUUUCUUCUAAGAGCCUACAUGUUAUACUUUAUAUCUCCUCCUCCCCCUGCCCCUUCCUUUCUUUGUUUUUUUUUUUUUUAAUAGCUUAGGAACAGAAGCUUGGAAACUUGUAACUUGUCUAAGAUCACAUAUCUAAAAAUGCUGGAUCCAAGGUUCAAACCCAGAGAUAGUCAUUAAAAUCUCUGUGAAUGCUGUUCCAAAAGUCCCUUUCCAGAUCACCUGACCAAGCUUUAAGAAGAUUUCUUAUUUGGAAACAGAAGAACAGUGUCUGGCAAGAAGGUAGUGCUGGUGGCAGGACCUGAAAUCUAUUGGUUUAGAAGAAGCCAGAAAAUUCAACCACACAGAAGUGAUGACAACAAAGGAGAAUAGCCCUUUCCCACACAUGGGGAGCUAACUAUAGACCACCAAAUCAAUAUUUUGACCUCAAGCCCAUUGAGCUCAAAAUUAAAUAAAACAAACCAUACACAUCUACCACAAUGGCUAUUAUUUUAUUUUAUUUCCUUUUUAUUAAACUGGAGCGUGUAUGAAUGAGGAGCUACCAGGGAAAUGCAGAUAAGCUUUUAAUUUUUCCAAGUUGUCUUCAAUCAAGAGUAGUUUAUUACAGUAUGUCUUAUAUUUCUUAUAUGUUACCUGUCCACAGAGAUGAUUUUUCCCCCCCUGGCAAAUUUGUGUUUCCUUUAAAUGUUGAAAUUGCUAGGUCUUUAGUAACCUGGCUGCAGAUUGGUCCUUUUACCUUGGAAGGCUAUCACUUCUGGGUAAUAAUUGAUUCUUACACUAGCCUUCAGAAAGCCCUACAGUCUCCCAAAAAGGAAAUUUUUUUUCUAAGGACUUAAGAACUUGACUGCAACAAAAAGACGGUAAAUAGAAACAUUAAAUGCCUAAGGAAAAGACAAGCCGGCUUUGAUCUUGUGAUGAGUAGGAGCCAACUCAGUGCCUGUGUAAGCAUACUGGACUUGGGGAAAAACCUGUGGAGGAUAUAGUUACAAAUGCUUGAGAUGAAACUCACGGGAGGAAAAAGGGAAUUAUUUUUGGAAAGCAUACUUUACAAAGCCAACUUUAUACAGCCAUGACUAUAUUUACAGGUGAAUGUCCCAUUCAUUUAAAAAUCCAGCAAAUACAGAUUUAAGUAAAAUCUGCCAUUUCAAUCCCCUAGACGUUUCAACAGAAGUCAAAUCUUGAGUAAAUUCCGUUACAGAGACAAUAGAAAUUGUUAAAAAUCACAAGCCAUUAGGUAUAUAUUUAAAUAGAAAUCUUUCUAAAACAUAUU